UACGUAGGGGGCAAGCGUUGUCCGGAAUCAUUGGGCGUAAAGAGCGCGUAGGCGGCCCAGUAAGUCCGCUCUGAAAGCCCGGGGCUCAACCCCGGGAGGCGGGUGGAUACUGUCAAGCUCGAGUCCGGAAGAGGCGAGUGGAAUUCCUGGUGUAGCGGUGAAAUGCGCAGAUAUCAGGAGGAACACCGAUGGCGAAGGCAGGUCUCUGGGCAUUAACUGACGCUGAGGAGCGAAAGCAUGGGGAGCGAACAGG
rnacentral:rRNA from 1 species